rnacentral:rRNA from 1 species
AACGGGGCAAUUCCUUCGGGGAUUGCUUAGUGGCGAACGGGUGAGUUAACGCGUGAGAAACCUGCCUUUCAUGGGGGGACAACAGUUGGAAACGACUGCUAAUACCGCAUAAUGUUAUUUGGGGGCAUCCCUGAAUAACCAAAGAUUUAUUGCUGAAAGAUGGUCUCGCGUCUGAUUAGCUAGUUGGUGGGGUAAACGGCCUACCAAGGCGACGAUCAGUAGCCGACCUGAGAGGGUGAUCGGCCACAUUGGGACUGAGACACGGCCCAAACUCCUACGGGAGGCAGCAGUGGGAAUAUUGCACAAUGGGGGAAACCCUGACCCAGCAACGCCGCGUGAAGGAAGAAGGGCCUUCGGGUUGUAAACUUCUUUUACCAGGGACGAACGAAUGACGGUACCUGGAGAAAAAGCAACGGCUAACUACGUG